rfam:Dufourea novaeangliae contig3602, whole genome shotgun sequence.
CAAUCGGCCCCUUUCGGGGCCACCAAUUUUUCUUCACGUUGGAA